CUCCCGGAAGCCGUCAGGGAAUUGGGGCCGGCGGGAGCAGCGCCCCGGCCCUGCUUUUCCUCAGAGGAAUUACGGGGCGUUCCUUUUCCCGCGGCUGCCUUUGCGUUCAAUUUUUUAGGCUGUUUUCAGAUAUAAAAGUGCCUGGAAGCACUCGCUUCGUCGAGUCAGCCCGGUGACCCGGAGUUUCAACCGGUGAACAGAGAUCUUUUUUCACUGAUACAAACGGAGUGUGUCGAGCAGGAAAGAUGUGAGAUUAAAAGGUGUUCCGAUACCCCUCGUUGCGCCGCAGUAAGGAGCCAGCUCCCAUCGCGGCUGUCAGGCAUCCCUGGAUCACAGCGGGCUCCCGCUGCCAGGCUGCCGCGAGGAAACCUUGUGGAAACACUGUUGUCAGUGUUUCAGUUUUUCCUUGUGGAAAAGCAGCUGCGGUGCCCGGAGCAGCUCCGGACCGCCGGGAGAUUUGACCUCCGUCGCUUUGGUGCCUAGAGAGGCUGACCUGGAGCAGAGACUAGACAGAGCAAAAAAAGAAUAAAAUAGGACUCAGAGAUGGAUUCACCAGAAGGAGCCACAAUUAGAAGUGAGCAGAAAUUCAGAAAAUUCUUAAAAAGUCUCAUAAGAAAGCAGCCUCGGGACCUUCUCCUGGUGAUUGGGACAGGAGUGAGUGCUGCAGUAGCCCCAGGAAUCCCAGCACUCUGUUCCUGGAGAAGCUGCAUUGAGGCUGUCCUUGGAGCAGCUGAGCAGCUGGAGGUGCUGCACCCGGGGGAUGUCGCUGAAUUCCGUAAGAAAGUAAUCAAAGAGAGAGACCUGCUUGUGGUUGCACAUGAUCUCAUCAGGAAGAUGUCACCACGAACCGGAGACACGAAGCCCAACUUCUUCCAGGAUUGCUUAAUGGAGGUGUUUGAUAAUUUAGAACAACACAUUCAGAACCCUGUGGUUCUGCAAUCCAUCCUGAGGCUCAUGGAGAGAGGCACAAUGGUUCUGACUACAAACUAUGAUAAUUUGCUUGAAAUAUUUGGUCAGCAACAGGGUAAACCUAUGGAAUCUUUAGACCUUAAAGAUAAGGAUAAGGAGGUUCUUCAGAACUUGUACCGAACCAAGUCUUUUUUGUUUUUGGGUUGUGGAGAGACUCUGCGUGACCAGAUAUUCCAAGCUCUUUUUCUUUACACAGUAAAGAACAAAGUGGAUCUAGAACAUUACAUGUUGGUGCUUAAAGAAAAUGAAGACCACUUUUUUAAGCUGCAGGCAGAUAUGUUGCUGCAUGGAAUAAAAGUGGUGUCCUAUGGGGACUGCUUCCAACAAUUCCCAGAGUAUGUCCAGGAUCUGACUGCUCAAAUCUGCAAACAGAAAAGUCCAGAUGCUGAUCGGGUGGACAGUACAACGCUGUUGGGAACUUCAUGUGUGGACUGUGCUAAAAGGAAGUUAGGAGAAAGCAGCACUGAUUCUCCUAAGAGGGUCAAGCAGCCAGAUAAUGGUAUACCCACUCUUGAAUGAAAAAGCCCCAAGCACACAAGGCCCACCCCAGAAGCUUUUUAACAGUAGAUGUUUUACAUCUGCUGCAUGGAAAGUUUUGAGCUGGUAUUUCCAUGAUUUUAAAUGGAAUAAAAUUGUACAUACUAGCUUUCUCUUUCCUAAAGCCAUAAAUGUGUCACAUGUGUAAAGCUUGAGAGUCAAAUGAGUCACUCGCCGUGGCACUGCCAGACCACUUGGACAGAACCUGCAGGGUCAGACAGAAGCAGAUGCAACUUCUCUUUGCAUUUAUGUGAAGCCACCUGGACCAAACUCUUCCCCCUUCCCCAGCUGAAGCCAAAGAACAUUUGUGCCUCUUGGCACACCUGCCUUUGAAAUAGAGGGGCUUCAGUUCUCCCAGCAGCUGAACUGCAGGUGUGUUUCUGGAUUCUUCAGGGGUCUUGCAGGCUUUAGUCUCUGAACCCCAAGUCCUGCAGAACAGUGCUGUUCCACAUUUACGGAACCUACAGCAUGAUGACCCACCUGCUUUCCACUUUUGACAUGAGGAUUUUUUUUCCUUUGGUAAGGCACAAGAUCACCAGGGGAAGGAAGGCUGGAAGAGUGCUGCAUCUGCAGGGACAGACUACAGGGCAGGCACUCCCUGACCUCUCUGCAGUGGGUUCCUGUGGAAAUGUUUUAAAUACUGCUACAUUACAGACUGUGCUGCCUUCUGCUUGGACAGCACAUAACAGUCUUGCAGUGGAAUGAAACCCAGUCAGUAUCAAAGGAUCCAUCUGCAGGUAAUUCCUAGUGUUUAAGUUUGCCUUUGGUUGAACUGCUCCAAGGGUGAAGGGUGAGGCCCAGCAGUACCUGCUACUUCCCCCAUCUACAUCAUCUUGGCAGCACGACAGAAUUCCCACUGCAGCUGCCAGCACUGGUACACACCUGUAGUUUUCUAGUCAGCUGACUCUCACCAGGAGAGCAAGUGUCUACAGGAGAGCAUGUCCAGGGCUGUUCAUUGUGCUGAUGCCAGCACACGUACCUGGCAGGACUGAAGGAUUACUCCUGUCAGGUUUUCCUGUGGCUGUCUCCUAAGGAUUUCUGUUAUGCCUCCUGAGAGCAGGUCACAUGGUAUUGGGUUUUACAGGAAGGGCAAGGGGUGGGUCUGGCAGGUGACCUUUUUCUCUGAACUGUGGUUUGGUAGGUCUUAACUCCCCUGCCAAACAAGCACCCCGUGCAGCUCCGUGGGACAAAAAGCUUCAGUGAGGUGCACUGUUAG